rnacentral:rRNA from 1 species
UUUUUGUGGAGGGUUUGAUUCUGGCUCAGGACGAACGCUGGCGGCGUGCUUAACACAUGCAAGUCGAACGGGAUCCGACCAGCUUGCUGGUCGGUGAGAGUGGCGAACGGGUGAGUAAUGCGUGACCGACCUGCCCCGUACUCCGGAAUAGCUCCUGGAAACGGGUGGUAAUGCCGGAUGCUCCACUUCCUCGCAUGGGGUUGUGGGAAAGGGUCUUACCGGUAUGGGAUGGGGUCGCGUCCUAUCAGCUUGUCGGUGGGGUAACGGCCCACCGAGGCUU